rnacentral:rRNA from 1 species
GAUGAACGCUGGCGGCGUGCCUAAUACAUGCAAGUCGAGCGAACAGACGAGGAGCUUGCUCCUCUGACGUUAGCGGCGGACGGGUGAGUAACACGUGGAUAACCUACCUAUAAGACUGGGAUAACUUCGGGAAACCGGAGCUAAUACCGGAUAAUAUAUUGAACCGCAUGGUUCAAUAGUGAAAGACGGUUUUGCUGUCACUUAUAGAUGGAUCCGCGCCGCAUUAGCUAGUUGGUAAGGUAACGGCUUACCAAGGCGACGAUGCGUAGCCGACCUGAGAGGGUGGUCGGCCACACGGGGACUGAGACACGGUCCAGACUCCUACGGGAGGCAGCAGUAGGGAAUCGUCCGCAAUGGGCGAAAGCCUGACGGAGCAACGCCGCGUGAGUGAUGAAGGUCUUCGGAUCGUAAAACUCUGUUAUUAGGGAAGAACAUAUGUGUAAGUAACUGUGCACAUCUUGACGGUACCUAAUCAGAAAGCCACGGCUAACUACGUG